rnacentral:rRNA from 1 species
CAGCAGCAGCCGCGGGAAUACAGAGGGUGCGAGCGUUAAUCGGAUUUACUGGGCGUAAAGCGUGCGUAGGCGGCUAAUUGAGUCGGAUGUGAAAUCCCCGAGCUUAACUUGGGAAUUGCAUUCGAUACUGGUUAGCUAGAGUGUGGGAGAGGAUGGUAGAAUACCAGGUGUAGCGGUGAAAUGCGUAGAGAUCUGGAGUAAUACCAAUGGCGAAGGCAGCCAUCUGGCCUAACACUGACGCUGAGGUACGAAAGCGUGGGUAGCGAACAGGAUUAGAUACCCCCGUAGUCCCUGUCUCUUAUAC